UAUUAAUUUCAGGAAAAGACACACAGAUUGGAUAAAUAAUAGCAUUUUAUACGGCUUUAUUUUUAAAAUUGCCCGUUUCCAUACUUUUUUUUAAAAAACACAACUAGUAAGUAACAAUUGGUCUAGAUGAUAGUUAUCAAUGAAUGGUAUAAAUCGUUCUUCUAAGCAUUCAUCGAUAUAAAUGCUUGAUUUUAUUGCUGCCGAUGUUGUUGACCAAAAGAGUGGUUUCGACAUGCUCAGAUAGUGCUAUCAAAACAAUAAUUUUUUUGGAAAUUUUUCUUUUCCCGCAAAACGAACAUUAUCUGGACAUUUGUCUUUGUCGUCCGCGUAAUAUCCGACAUUUCCAGGUAUUUCAUCGCCGCCGAAAUAAAAGUACUUUUUGUCGUCAAAGAUUUAAACACUCUGUUCUUUAUAGAUGUAAUUUACGAAUUUUUGGCUCCUUUUUUGUGCUCUUAGACGCUGUCCAUCAUUAUAUUUGAGCGUUUUUUCACGUUUACGGUACUUAAUGUUCAUUUUGGUCAAUUGUGUAGAAAUUGUCUUUUGAUCAACGUUGAAUUUACGUGCGAGUUUUCUUUGACUUACACCGUUAGCAGCUUCAGCUUUGGUAGCUUUUAUAUUUUUUACAAAAUAAUUUUUGUUAUAUUAUUUUGAAGAACUGCUCUUUUUUGCCGUU